rnacentral:rRNA from 1 species
UACAGAGGGUGCAAGCGUUAAUCGGAAUUACUGGGCGUAAAGCGUGCGUAGACGGUUAUGUAAGUCAGAUGUGAAAGCCCCGGGCUCAACCUGGGAAUUGCAUUUGAGACUGCAUAGCUAGGGUGCGGAAGAGGGAAGCGGAAUUUCCGGUGUAGCGGUGAAAUGCGUAGAGAUGUGGAGGAACACCGAUGGCGAAGGCAGCCCCCUGGGCUGAGAUUGACGCUCAGGCACGAAAGCGUGGGGAGCAAACAGG